UGGGGAAUAUUGCACCAUCGUCGCAAGCCUGAUGCAGCCAUGCCGCGUGUAUGAAGAAGGCCUUCGGGUUUUAAAGUACUUUCAGCGGGGUGGAAGGGAGUAAAGUUAAUACCUUUGCUCAUUGACGUUACCCGCAGACGAAGCACCGGCUAACUCCGUGCCAUCAGCCGCGGUAAUACGGAGUGUGCAAGCGUUAAUCGGAAUUACUGGGCGUAAAGCGCACGCAGGCGGUUUGUUAAGUCAGAAGUGAAAUCCCCGGGCUCAACCUGGGAACUGCAUCGGAGACUGGCAAGCUUGGGUCUCGUAGAGGGGGGUAGAAUUCCAGGUGUAGCGGGGAAAUGCGUAGAGAUCUGGAGGAAUACCGGUGGCGAAGGCGGCCCCCAGGACGAAGACUGACGCUAAGGUGCGAAAGCGUGGGGAGCAAACAGG
rnacentral:rRNA from 1 species